AUUGAACGCUGGCGGCAGGCCUAACACAUGCAAGUCGAGCGAGCGGCGGACGGGUGAGUAAUGUAUGGGGACUGCCCGAUAGAGGGGGAUAACUACUGGAAACGGUAGCUAAUACCGCAUACUAUCGGAUAACCCAUAUGGGAUUAGCUAGUAGGUGAGGUAAUGGCUCACCUAGGCGACGAUCCCUAGCUGGUCUGAGAGGAUGAUCAGCCACACUGGGACUGAGACACGGCCAGACCUCCUACGGUGGCAGCAGGUGGAAAUAUUGAACAAUGGGCGAAACUCGAAUGCAACCAGGCGGCGUGUAUAAAGAAGGCCAUAGGGUUUUAAAGUACUUUAAGGCGGGAGGCUUUGCCGACAGAAGAAGCACCGACAAACCCCUUACCAGCAGCCGCGGUAAUAC
rnacentral:rRNA from 1 species